UCCAUCUUAAAAAGAAUCUAAACAAUGUAGGAGGGCUGGAUGUUUUGGGGACUUCUUAUUUCAAGCUUUUAUAUCCAUAGUAAGAAAUAUAUUACGAGUGCGUUAUCCCAGCCUGAAAAGUUUGACCAUAGAACACAAAGUGCAUAGCUCUGUCUUCUGCUGGCAGAAGUGUUUGCUGCCAGUCCUCUGUACUGCGAGCCAAGGUUUGACUCGGAAGAAGAGCUGAACUCCCUCGCCUCAGAGGGGUGGUGAGGGAAGAAGCCAGGGAGCUGCAGACUCUUCCUGGAGCGGGCAGUGCUGCUGCCAAAGAGGGAAUGGCCCUGGUUGCCAGCAGCUAGCCUGGUUCAGCAGCUCCCUAAAGACAUCGGGAGGAGAGACUCUGAGCUGUGUGCUUGGCAUGCACUGAAGUUGUUCUGCUGUCAUAGCCCCACACAGGGAAAAGGCGGAAGGUAAAUAGCUGAAGUUUCCUGUGGUUGUUAGCAUAAACAUAUGCACACGGAUGAGCUUCAGGUUUUUAAACUUAUAUCCCUGUUUCCCUCUUUCAAAUGAUCUGUGUAAUACUGAAAAUGAGGUAAUGGUAAAUAAAGUGUUCAGCCUACUUUGCAACUGUCAGUAAACAAAUAUCUCCGUUAUGUGUUGUGCGCACACACUUCGUUGUCAGAUGUUUCAUGCAGUCCUGCUGCUUGAUGCUCCUUUUGUAUGUCUCUUCCUUUUGGGACUAGCAUAUGCAUUUUCUCUCCUAAUUACAAUCUUGCACUGCUUAAACUAGUUACUAAUGAUGAGAGUGGCCAUUACUUCAUUAACGUGUAAGAAGAAAGUAAGUUCAACUCCCUUGACUUCUGCUGGUCACAAGUACUUUGAAGGUAGGUGACUUUAUUGCCACACUUAAAAUUUGAAUAUACUAUCUUUUUAUGCUGGAAACAUCAAACUUCCUCAUUAGUGGACUUACUGUGAGAACAUCCUCUAGAUCUGGCUCUUUGACUUAAAACAGAAACUGAAAAUUUUAUCAGACUUAUUUAUGUUAUACUGAAUUCCAUCAGAUUUUCUUGGUGUCCUUAUGUGUUUCAAUUUUCAUGAAAGUGCUUUGUUUAAAAUUUAGUUUUAAGAGGUGGUUUCUUGAUGUUGGUUCAGUAUUGCAGCUUAUUCUAUUUGUAGCAUGUCUCUGAUACACACACAGAUC